rnacentral:pre_miRNA from 1 species
AAUGGAACUGUUGGGUCAUAUGGUAACUCCAUGUUUAAUUUUUUGAGGAAAUGUCAAACUGUUUUCCAAAGUGACUGCACCAUUUUACAUUCCCACUAGCAAU